rnacentral:rRNA from 1 species
GACGAACGCUGGCGGCGUGCCUAAUACAUGCAAGUAGAACGCACAGUUUAUACCGUAGCUUGCUACACCAUAAACUGUGAGUUGCGAACGGGUGAGUAACGCGUAGGUAACCUGCCUGGUAGCGGGGGAUAACUAUUGGAAACGAUAGCUAAUACCGCAUAAUAUUGAUUAUUGCAUGAUAAUUGAUUGAAAGAUGCUAUUGCAUCACUACCAGAUGGACCUGCGUUGUAUUAGCUAGUAGGUGAGGUAACGGCUCACCUAGGCGACGAUACAUAGCCGACCUGAGAGGGUGAUCGGCCACACUGGGACUGAGACACGGCCCAGACUCCUACGGGAGGCAGCAGUAGGGAAUCUUCGGCAAUGGACGAAAGUCUGACCGAGCAACGCCGCGUGAGCGAAGAAGGUUUUCGGAUCGUAAAGCUCUGUUGUAAGAGAAGAACGGGUGUGAGAGUGGAAAGUUCACACUGUGACGGUAUCUUACCAGAAAGGGACGGCUAACUACGUG